UAGCCGGUCUCGCGAAUGCUCUAGAUUAAAGUUGAUCAUGGCUCAGNCACGAACGCUGGCGGCGUGCCUAAUACAUGCAAGUCGAGCGGAGCUGAUGAGGUGCUUGCACCUCUGAUGCUUAGCGGCGGACGGGUGAGUAACACGUAGGUAACCUGCCUGUAAGACUGGGAUAACAUUCGGAAACGAAUGCUAAUACCGGAUACGCGAGUUGGUCGCAUGGCCGACUCGGGAAAGACGGAGCAAUCUGUCACUUACAGAUGGACCUGCGGCGCAUUAGCUAGUUGGUGAGGUAACGGCUCACCAAGGCGACGAUGCGUAGCCGACCUGAGAGGGUGAUCGGCCACACUGGGACUGAGACACGGCCCAGACUCCUACGGGAGGCAGCAGUAGGGAAUCUUCCGCAAUGGACGAAAGUCUGACGGAGCAACGCCGCGUGAGUGAUGAAGGUUUUCGGAUCGUAAAGCUCUGUUGCCAGGGAAGAACGCUUGGGAGAGUAACUGCUCCCAAGGUGACGGUACCUGAGAAGAAAGCC
rnacentral:rRNA from 1 species